UUACAAGGCCUUUGGUUAGGUGGGGUAUAAUGACUAAUUUACCCCCUCCCAGUGUAAUCUACCAAUUAAUCCAAUCCCUCAACAAAAGCGUAUCUCCAAAGUUUUGUUUUGGUGUUUUCCCUUUCCGACAGUUUCAGCCUUCAUUUUCGUUUGGAUUCUUUAAGGAAUAUCACGUAAGAAGAAGAUUUCUUGGCAUCCUUAUUCCCGG
rnacentral:misc_RNA from 1 species